AACCGAGAACUCCUACGGGAGGCAGCAGUGGGGAAAUUUGGACAAUGGGGGCAACCCUGAUCCAGCAAUGCCGCGUGAGUGAAGAAGGCCUUCGGGUUGUAAAGCUCUUUUGUCAGGGAAGAAACGGUAGUAGCUAAUAUCUAUUACUAAUGACGGUAACUGAAGAAUAAGCACCGGCUAACUACGUGCUAGCAGCCGCGGUAAUCCGUAGGGUGCAAGCGUUAAUCGGAAUUACUGGGCGUAAAGCGUGCGCAGGCGGUUGUGUAAGUCAGAUGUGAAAUCCCCGGGCUCAUCCCGGGAAGUGCAUUUGAGACUGCACGGCUAGUGUGUGUCAGAGGGGGGUAGAAUUCCACGUGUAGCAGUGAAAUGCGUAGAUAUGUGGAGGAAUACCGAUGGCGAAGGCAGCCCCCUGAGAUAACACUGACGCUCAUGCACGAAAGCGUGGGGAGCAAACAGGAUUAGAAACACCGGUAGUCCGACUGAGA
rnacentral:rRNA from 1 species